rnacentral:rRNA from 14 species
UUUGCGGGGGAUAUCAUCGCGCUUGCCGGUUUGAAGGACACGACUACGGGCGACACGUUGUGCGAUGUGAAAGAGCCUGUAAUCUUGGAAACAAUG